rnacentral:rRNA from 1 species
CACAUGCAAGUCGGACGGUAACAGGGAUUGCUUGCAAUCCGCUGACGAGUGGCGCACGGGUGCGCAACGCGUAUAGAACCUACCCUUUACAGGGGGAUAGCCCAGAGAAAUUUGGAUUAAUACCCCGUAGUACCUAUUAGAGGCAUUUCUAAUAGGUUAUAGUUUUCGAACGGUAAAGGAUGGCUAUGCGUCUUAUUAGCUAGUAGGUAAGGUAACGGCUUACCUAGGCUACGAUAAGUAGGGGCCCUGAGAGGGGGAUCCCCCACACUGGUACUGAGACACGGACCAGACUCCUACGGGAGGCAGCAGUGAGGAAUAUUGGACAAUGGGCGGAAGCCUGAUCCAGCCAUGCCGCGUGCAGGAAGACGGCCCUAUGGGUUGUAAACUGCUUUUAUACGGGAAGAAUAAGGGAUACGUGUAUCCUGGUGACGGUACCGUAAGAAUAAGGACCGGCUAACUCCGUGCCAGCAGCCGCGGUAAUACGGAGGGUCCGAGCGUUAUCCGGAAUUAUUGGGUUUAAAGGGUCCGCAGGCGGGCAAUUAAGUCAGAGGUGAAAUGGUGCGGCUCAACCGUAGCACUGCCUUUGAUACUGGUUGUCUUGAGUCAUGGUGGAGUGGCCGGAAUAUGUAGUGUAGCGGUGAAAUGCAUAGAUAUUACAUAGAACACCGAUCGCGAAGGCAGGUCACUAACCAUGUACUGACGCUGAUGGACGAAAGCGUGGGGAGCGAACGGGAUUAGAUACCCCGGUAGUCCACGCCGUAAACGAUGGAUACUAGCUGUCCGCUGCCUUGAGCAGUGGGCGGCCAAGCGAAAGUGAUAAGUAUCCCACCUGGGGAGUACGUUCGCAAGAAUGAAACUCAAAGGAAUUGACGGGGGCCCGCACAAGCGGUGGAGCAUGUGGUUUAAUUCGAUGAUACGCGAGGAACCUUACCAGGGCUUAAAUGCAGAAUGACAGGUUUAGAGAUAGACUUUUCUUCGGACAUUUUGCAAGGUGCUGCAUGGUUGUC